rnacentral:rRNA from 1 species
GACGAACGCUGGCGGCGUGCUUAACACAUGCAAGUCGAACGGAAAGGCCCUGCUUUUGUGGGGUGCUCGAGUGGCGAACGGGUGAGUAACACGUGAGUAACCUGCCCUUGACUUUGGGAUAACUUCAGGAAACUGGGGCUAAUACCGGAUAGGAGCUCCUGCUGCAUGGUGGGGGUUGGAUAGUUUCGGCGGUUGGGGAUGGACUCGCGGCUUAUCAGCUUGUUGGUGGGGUAGUGGCUUACCAAGGCUUUGACGGGUAGCCGGCCUGAGAGGGUGACCGGCCACAUUGGGACUGAGAGACGGCCCAGACUCGUACGGGAGGCAGCAGUGGGGAAUAUGGCACAAUGGGCGGAAGCGUGAUGCAGCAACGCCGCGUGCGGGAUGACGGCCUUCGGGUUGUAAAACGCUUUCGCCUGUGACGAAGCGUGAGUGACGGUAAUGGGUAAAGAAGCACCGGCUAACUACGUG